UCCGUAGCAGGUUUUGUAAAUUCCUUGUGAAAUUGCCAGGCUUAACUUGGCAGAGUGCAGGGAACACUGCAGAACUUGAGACCGGGAAGGGUCAAAGGUAUUCCUGAGGGACCGGUAAAAUGGUAUAAUCUCAGGAGGACCACCGGUGGCGAAGGCGUCUGACUAGAACGGUUUGACUAGAACGGAUCUGACUGUGAGGGACGAAAGCCAGGGGAUCAAACCGGAUUAGAUACCCGA
rnacentral:rRNA from 1 species